rnacentral:snRNA from 1 species
AGAUGAGAGGGCGAUCUACCUGCAACAUCUGUCACCCCAUGGAUUGCCAGGGUUGAUUUGGCUGAUCUGGCUGGCCAGGCUGGCAUCCCUUUCCUCCCUCACCGCUCCACGUGCAUGCCUCCAGAAGCUGCACACUCAGUCGAAGAGGAUGACCUUCCCCAAACAGAUGAGGAUCAGUCUUCACACAGGGUAUGCGAUAGCUGUGUUCCCUGCUGAAACCUCCAAACAAGCUCUCAAAUAAGUAUGUGUAUGUAUUUGCAGAGAUGCAUAGCUGGCAGAAUUGCUGAG